rnacentral:rRNA from 1 species
AGUGAACGCUGGCGGUAGGCCUAACACAUGCAAGUCGAACGGCGGCACAGUAAGAGCUUGCUCUUACGGGUGGCGAGUGGCGGACGGGUGAGGAAUACAUCGGAAUCUACUUUUUCGUGGGGGAUAACGUAGGGAAACUUACGCUAAUACCGCAUACGACCUACGGGUGAAAGCAGGGGAUCUUCGGACCUUGCGCGAUUGAAUGAGCCGAUGUCGGAUUAGCUAGUUGGCGGGGUAAAGGCCCACCAAGGCGACGAUCCGUAGCUGGUCUGAGAGGAUGAUCAGCCACACUGGAACUGAGACACGGUCCAGACUCCUACGGGAGGCAGCAGUGGGGAAUAUUGGACAAUGGGCGCAAGCCUGAUCCAGCCAUACCGCGUGGGUGAAGAAGGCCUUCGGGUUGUAAAGCCCUUUUGUUGGGAAAGAAAAGCAGCAGGUUAAUACCCCGCUAUUCUGACGGUACCCAAAGAAUAAGCACCGGCUAACUUCGUG